rnacentral:lncRNA from 1 species
UGGCGUCGCGCAGGCACUUCUCCACGGGGUCCAUGCACUUGCGGAACAGGUCCAUGCACAGCUCCUCAAAGCGGGCGCGGGUGAUGGAGGUGGCGAAGUCCACGCCCUCGAACAGGGAGUCCAGCUCGAUGGUGGUCUGCGCGGCGCUAGACAGCGUGCGCUUAGCGCGCUCGCAGGCGGUGCGCAGGCGGCGCAGAGCACGGGGCGAGGUCUUCAGGUCCUUCUUGUACUUGCGCUGGAACUCGUUGGCGAAGUGGUUGACCAGGCGCUCGUCGAAGUCCUCACCGCCCAGAUGGGUGUCACCGGCAGUGGCCUUGACCUCGAAGAUGCCCUCCUCAAUGGUCAGCAGCGACACAUCGAAGGUGCCGCCGCCCAGGUCGAAGAUGAGCACGUUGCGCUCGCCCAGGCCGCUGUGGUGGGAAGGGAGCAAGGGAUGGGUGGGGAGGGAGAAGGUUAGCGUCGAGAGCAGGAACCGUGUGUUUGCUUGACCGCGGUCCGCUGCUUCGCUAGGGGCGCAUACGGCGCGCUGAAGGGCACGAGCACGGAUGCUGCGCGCUGGCUCGUGGUGGCUGGUUUUGGUCCCUUGGCCCAGUCUGGACUCUGCACAUCACCGCCCCCGCUUCCAGCUCCAUCGCACCGCCGUGCCGACCCUACAGCUGCGCGUCGCCGUACGCCCAUCCUGAAACCCUGCGGCACGCCCUCACCCAACCCAGCUGCAGAGCCCCUCAGUAAGCAUGCAGCGACCUAAGCUCACCUGUCCUUCUUGUCCAGGCCGUAGGCAAUGGCGGCGGCGGUGGGCUCGUUGAUGAUGCGCAGCACCUCCAGGCCGGCAAUCAUACCGGCAUCCUUGGUGGCCUGAAAGCACAGGAGAACAGGGAACAGGGAGCGAUGGCGUCAGCACGCGGGUCAACCGGUUAAGCCGAGUAACAAACACGCUGAGUGGUGGACAGAGAUGUCAAGAGCGGGAGGGUGCGCGAAGGUUCUGGCGAGUGGCAACCCCAAAGGCCGCGGUGGCACCCCAAGCCCCCCGGUGCCGCGUGCCGUGCGUACCUGGCGCUGGGAGUCGUUGAAGUAGGCGGGCACGGUCACCACGGCCUUCUUGACCUCGCGGUCAGCGCCCAGGAAAGCCUGAGCGGUCUCCUUCAUCUUGAUAAGCACCAUCGAGGAGAUCUCCUCAGCCUUGAAGACCUUCUCCUCGUUCUUGUAGGAGACUGCGAGCGCAAAGAGAUAGGUUGUGAGCAACUAAUUUCGCACACAGCACGGACCGCUUUGCGAGCUGAACUUACCAACGAUCUCGGGCACAUCGUGCGCGCCGGCGCGAACCUGGAAAGGCCACAGCUUAAUGUCCGCCUGGACAAUGGGGUCCGAGAACUUGCGGCCAAUCAGGCGCUUGGCGUCGAACACCGUGUGGCGCGGGUUCAUAGCGACCUGUGGAAGGCAGGUCGGCGAAGGCGGGUAAGUGGCUGCGCGCGCUGAAGUCGGCCCGCCCAAUUCGCAACGUACCUGGUUCUUGGCGGCAUCACCAAUCAGACGCUCAGUGUCCGUGAAGGCCACGUACGAGGGAGUGGUGCGGUUGCCCUGAUCGUUGGCAAUAAUCUCCACGCGGUCAUUCUGCCAGACACCCACGCAGCUGCGAGCAUUGAAGCACGCCAAGGGUCAGCUGGUGUCCAAGAGACGUUGAAGGUGCAGAGGGAGCUCACCUGUACGUGGUGCCCAGGUCAAUACCGAUAGCGGGGGCCUCCUUGCCCAUGUUUACUGACUCUUAAGCGAGUUGAGUGGUUAUGUAUAGCGGCAGAAUAGUCGCGUAUGUAUAAGUGCUCGUUUGUCGCUGAAAGUGGAGGUCACCGUUCGGGGUCGCGGGCUUUUAUACCGGAUGGGUGCCGCCAGCGGGCCGUAUGGCGCCUUCUGGACGCCGCGCGCCCCAUCGCGGCCCUUCCAGAGCUUCCCCCGCCCUCAUAGCCCGCCAAAUCAGUCCUGUAGCUUCAUACAAACAUACGCACCAAUCAUGUCAAGCCUCAGCGAGCUCCCCGCCGUCACGCAGACAUAUGUAAUUUGCGAUCUCCAAUCGCGCGCACGCCAGACCCGCUGUCCCCGGCAGAUCGCUCCAAUGAAUAGCUCAAGUGCAUUAAUCUACGGUUCUGGUUUCGCCUGGCGCAACGGCGGCUCGGGCUCGUUUGGCGCCCUCAAGUCGGUUCUCGAACCGUCGCGGCCCUUCGCGUGACGUGUGCCCUGCGGAGCUGCCGGCCGGGGCAAGCGGCCACCGCGCUGAGAACUCCACCUUCCCGAGGUCGGCGGUGUUGCAAGGGGCUGUAGCAGGAGCAAUGCACGGUGAGGCGCGUAAUGCCUUCGCGUAGGGUGGGGUUGGCAAUUGGCACGCGGCUGGGAGCACCCGGCCUGUCACGCCCACGUCACUGCACUGGGAGCCGGCCUGGUUGGCUUAGGAAAGCCAUCAGACCGCAUGAGACCAUGUGUGUGUUGAAUGUCGGGCUGGUCUGGUCUGGUCUGGUGUGUGACGCCCCGCCGGCAGCAUGUGCGGCUUUGCGGGGAGGGGGCUGUUUGGAGGUGGCCAAAGCGGCGGCGAUAUGGCUGUCGACUGGAAGCCUUCUAUGAGCUUUGGGUGAGCUUUUGAAGGGCUUUGACGGGCUGGUUUGGUGUGAGGCGGGGUGAAACCUCGGGCGUUGGGUGCGAUGGCGUGUGGUUCAGCCUCUGCGGCGCCUACACACUGCAGCACUUGCACUGCCGUGCCUCGAUGCAUGAUGUGGGCAGGCGCUGGGCCGCUGCCCUGGCGCACCACCCACACUCGAGUGCUGACGUGCCGACGUGCCGCCUUGUGGCGCAGCUGCGGGGUCGGCUGCCGGUUGGGUUACGGGAGGGCCUGCGAUCCGGGGCGUCGCCACUGGUGUUCCGUUCGUGUGUUGCAAGGGCCGUGGGGGUUCAGCGUGUGUAUGCGGGACCCCGGAGCUGCCCCUUCACAGGCUCCCGGAUGCCUCGCCAGAUCCACAGCUUCGCAUGCACCAAAACCUUUGCAAGCCGGGGCUUGUCAGCCCCACCAUUGCUCGAAGAAUGGCCUCAGGGUUUUGGGGGGGGGGGGGGGUUGGGGCUAUAUGGCGCGCCACGAGCACACGGAGCAGCUGGGUAGGGGCGCCGCGUUGAGAAGGUGGGGAGCGGGAAAGCUGGCACGUGGGGCCGAGGGCUACGCGCCCCACUAGCGCUGCGGGGGGUGGGUUGGGGGGGGGUGAAGGGGCUCGUCCGUGUCACGCAGCAAGAGACACAGCACGCACGCGAGAAUUGUGGGCGCUGGAGGAGGGGGGUCACUCAGCUUCGGGGGCAGGCACGGCACGUUAGCUCGCGCUGCUGCGGGCAUGCCCGGGCGACACUCGCGCAGCCCGCUCCCUGUCGAUAUUGCAGCAACUGGGCCCCACAGCAGAGCACCGGGUCCUGCCGGGCCCGCACCGCCCUCCACGGCCACACAUUCCCGCAGGCAGAUGCUCAGGUGGGGCCCCGUGGGUCUCUCCUCCUCCCGGUCUCUCCUGUCACCGCCUUCUACUUCCUCGCCAUCAUCACCCUUUCGCGUUUAUUUUACCCUGCAAGAACGUCUUAAAAGCGUUAGAAGCUCUAUCGACAGGUGUAUAAGCUCUCCCGAAGCCAGUUCUGGGCUUUGCUCUCGCGCGGCCCCUUAGCACUGCCCGAUUGCUCCGAAAGCUCUCAGGUCAGAACGCAGCGCCUUAAGCAGUAGCUGCAAGCAGCCAUAGGCGCAACAGCCGCAACCACACAAGCCCCGCGACAGCGGACAGCUGCGACUCUGCAGCAGAGCCGGGUCCACAUGCCGACCCUGGGCGUCAGUAGCAGCGCCGCGGCGGGCCGCCCCGGCGGCGGCGGCGGCAGUGGCGGCGGCGGCGGCAGCAGCGGCCCGGGACUGGGGGGCCCGCCGUCGCUGCGGCAGUAUCACUCGCCGCUGCGGCGCUGGGUGUGGGCGGCGGUGUGCGCCAACCUGGCCUGGGCGGGCGUGUUCGCGGGGCUGUGUGCCGCGUCCUACAAGGUGGAGACAGGGGAGGGGAGGGGAGGCGUGGGCCAGGCAGGGGAAGUGGAGACAGGGGAAAGGAGGGGAUGGGGGUGUGUGGAGGAUGGAGGUUGGCAGGCGGGGGGCGGUCCGCAAUGCGGGACAGGGCAUCAGCCGUGUGCAACGCGUUAGCUGCGUCGUGGGUGUUUGGGCGCGUGUGCGGGCGUAAGUGCGGCAUGCAGGCCCGCUGAUGUGAGCGUGUUGUACUGUACGGUAAGUGCCAGGAAAGCACAAGGGGAAUGAACGGUAUGUGGGAUACAGAACGAUUGUGCGCCUGCGCAUGUGUACCGUGUGUACCAUACGUGUUCAGGGCUUCAAUGCAGCUGUGAGUCAGCUGGCGGCGGUGAAGGACGCAAGUGACCGCGCGGCGGCGGCGGGCGGUGACGAGGCGGCGGCGGCGGCGGAGCAGGCUUCGGGACUGCCUCCCGGGACCAAGGCCAGCGACUGGUGGGUCGUGUGCGUGCGUGCGUGUUUUCGGAGUUGUGAGCGCACAAGGGGGAAGGGCCGCGUGAGUGUGUGUCUGUGUGUGUCAUGUAUAAGAGCUUGGUGGUGCGGGAGCGAUGGCAAGGGACACACUGACCACGUCAUGCUGGCUAUACGUCCACGUCACACUGCCGAUCCCUCAUCCACCUGCAACAACACAACAAUACAACAACGCAACAACGCGGCAACACAACCGCAGGCAGGCGCUGUUUGCCGCGGCGGCGGUCAGCGCGGCCUUUGCGGUGGCGCUGACCAUCCUGUUCCAUGUGCGUGCGUGCGUCCUGGGGAAGGCGCCGUGCAGCUGCCGUGUGUGUGGGAGGGCGGUGGCGUGUUAGUCAGAGAGGGGACUAUAUGCCUGAGACCAACGAGUGUGUGUGUGAGGGGGGGCGGGGGGUUGUAAUAACCAGCCCAAACUAAACCGAACCAGGCCAAACUAGUGGUUCUAUGUGUAUGUGCCCGGGCCCAAUGAAACAGUCCCAUCAUGGGGGUUGGAAGGGGAGAUAAUGGCCACCAUGGUGUGUCUGACAGGGUACGCAUGCUCCGCCUGCCACCGCCGACUGGUGGUGCCGCUGACGGGUGGUGCGCUAACACCUGGUUACCCGGGCUCUUCCCUCCCCUCCCCGCAGGCCUGUGCGUUAGCUCUGCUGCUGUGCUCCUUCAAAAGCCUAGCUGACCCGCACCGCCGCUUCGGCCGCGGCUUUGUGGCGGCGGCGGCGGCGUGUGUGGGGCUGCACACACUCAACAUAGCGCUGCAGGUGAGGAGGGGCCGGGCGGGUGGGCUGUGAACGGGGGAGUUGCCGAGUGGGCAGGUGGGUGUGUGGGCUGUGGCCUGUGGGCUUCGAUCCGGCAAGGCUGGCAAAGGCUUCCCCUCCCCCCCCCCCGCAGUUCCAAGGCUACGGCCCCACACUGGCCACGUGGCGGCACCGCCUGUCCGCCGCCGCCGCCGCCGCCGCCUCCUCCGGCUCCCCCUCCUCCUCCGCCGCCUUCAACCCGGCGCUGCUGACCGCCACGCUGGCCUUCGGCUGGCUGUCGUUCCUCAACUACUCCGCCCUGGCCGUGCUGCUGUUCUUCUGUGAGUCACGCCGCGAUACCUGUGUGGGGGUGUGGGUGCGAAGGGGUGCAAUGGGGUGCAACUGUCGGGGGGGGGGGGGUGUAGGUGCCAGCCCAAACUAAGCCAAACCCAAUGCAAAAGAGCGAGGAGGAGAGCGGGGGUGGGCACAUUGAGCUGGGCUGGGCUGACGGGGCGGCAUGGCGAGGGGUGCGGUUGUGAUGUGAAGCGGUGCGUGUCGGCCGGUCGGCCCGAGGUGCCGGCCCAACCUGUGCCGUCCCUGUGUCAGCCCCGCCGGCCGGGUGGUCAAUGCUCUGCCUCUGUGCCCCCGCAAGUGGCGAAUCCGUGUGUCAGGGGCGACUGGGAGAGCUGGGGAAACCCAUGUUGAUCCAGGUGUGCCUGACGUGUGUGCUUUUGUGUGUUCGUGCCACACGCGCCCCUCUGCUCUUGCUUGUCCUAGAUCACAACAACACGCGCCCCUCCGCAGGGAACGACCCGGUGGAUGUGUACCUGUUGGACCGCUCCCCCGCCGGCGCGCUGUAGCAGCACUUCGGGAAAGAGGGAAAGGCAGUAGCAGGCAGCAGCGCGGGCAACUGGAGAGGCCACCGCCACCGACAGUUGCGGUGUUGCACUCAUGAUGCGUGGGUUGUGACACCUGCGGCCUGCUGCGGCUGGCGGCGACCAGCGUUUGGCACGUGCAUUACAGAAGACGGGGACACAAGGGAAGGAAGGUGUCGACCCCGUGCAUGCAACUGCGCGUGGGGGACGGUGGGGUGACGUGGGAGACGGGAGCCGGCUGAAGGGGUGAGACGACGACGUUUGAUGACAGUGCUAGUGGCCUAGUGCUGGACUAUGGGAGGCAUGUACAACACCUGAUACUGGGGUUGACUAUGGGCACACCAACAAGCCGACAUGGUGACGGAGGCCAGCGGCCGCCGACGCAAGGGUUGGGUAUGGGGCGUGUGCCAUGCGGGUUGCGGAGGUGGUGGCGGCGGCCGUCUGCGAUGUAGGGUGUUCCACUGCAUGUACGGACAAAGGCUGCGGGUACGGACACAGACACGGCGGUAAACCGGCAUGGCGUUGAGGCACAGUGGCUCCCCGGCGACCGAAUCUCAAAUAUAACGAAGUGCGUGUUAGACGUUGAAACUGACCCGACGUGCUGUGCGCAACAUCCCAGCAUUCCGACAUCUGUGGGUUUGGCACGCGUGUCAUGGCAGCGUACUAGCCCUUGCGCCCCGGGAGUUGGCUGUGCCCAUCACUCCCGCCUCAGGGACACCCCGCACGCCGUGCACGCGCGCAUACGGCACACCGGCACUCGGCUCAGAACACCCCACACUGACAAGGCAUGCGACGCUCGAUGAAUCGCGGCAGUUGGCAAGCUCGUCGCCCCCUGCAAUUUCAAUGCAAGCAACUGUCUCGCCAAGGGAUCGGGGCUGCUGCCGCAGCGCAUGCCGCAUUCGGGCUGCGCUGGCAGGCUUGCUGGCAGGUCCACUACCUUUCCUUUUGCACUAACUCAUAUACUUGUACAUCAGGCUCAGGCUUCUUGCUUGUCAAGUCGCAUCACAAGCAUGGAUGUACGACAUCAUCGUGUGCAAGGCAGCGUGAUGAGUAAGGCAGCAAGCGUCAUCCGCCAACAGCACCUGUAGCAGCGGUACCGUGCUCCGAGCCUCUGAGCCUCUGAGCCCCAUCACGCACCGCCGGCGGAGGGAGCGCACCGCCGGCGGCCAGGCACACCUUUGCAAACACCCAGCAGCAUUGCAUCAGCGGCCCCUCAGUGACAGCGCCACCGCAGCCCACGUACCACCCGGCGUCACCACCCUUAAUUCGGGAGCGCAUGUGCCUACCUGCCAUCCUGCGCCCUUUCCCACAUCUGGACCUCGCACACCCAAAUCAUCACCGCUUCCUAAACUCCUUGGCACCGACAGCCCACUGAUCUGACGCCGCUGCAGAGCUGCCACGCACAACCAAAGCCUCCCGCUGUCCUACUGCAGUGGCGCCAAUUGCAUGCAGCAGUCCCAGCCAGCAGCUGCGCUCCCUCGCUCACUCUCCUCGGAGUGGCAGGGCGGCACCUGCCUCCAUGAAUUCCUGCGGCGGAGCUGGGCGUCAGGGCAGGGCUCCUAUCUUAAUGUCUCCAGACAUUAAUUGGCCAUUUUGGCCGUUUCCUAGACAUUCCUCCCGGGGGCUAAUGUCUGGGGCGAGACUUUGUUGGCCCGGGUUUGGGGCGGGUUUUGUCCGAAGUCCUAUGGAGAAGCCCCCAAACCGCCAUGUGCCCAGACAAAAGACGGCGGCCACCCGGCCGUUUUUGUCUGGAGCUAGACAUUAGCCCGAAAACAAGAUACGACCCCUGCGUCAGGGCCUCAGGGGAUCGUAAGUGCAGAGCCCUCGGCAGCAUGCCCUUGCCGCAGCCCUCUCGUGCCCCUGGCAUAGAUAUCCCACACAAGAAGGAUCAGCACCAAACCUCACAGGCAGUCAAAGCACCAAACCAUUGCCCCUCGCGGCCCUCCCGCACACUACUCCCAGCUCCCCACGCCGUACACCCAGGCAGGUAUCUGCCCCGCCCCCGGCCCCGCCUCCUGACCGGGAAGCGAGCCCGGCCUGCACCCCUCGCGUCACCCGGGUGUGCCAUCCAGCUCCCGCCUCCCACCUCCCACCUCCAUGAAUUCCCGGCGCGGCUGCGGCGUCCUGCCCAUGCAUGCGCAUUCCGCAGCUGCCGCACAACCCGGUGGCGGCGGGCGUAGCUUCCACUGCCUCUCAAGGCAAACCUGUGCUGGGCAGUGGCGCGGGCUGCAGCAUGCAAAGCACAUCUGGGGGGGGGCUGCGCACGCCAGGCUGUCCACGCCAUGCCUUCCUGCCCGCCCCCAGACACGCAGCCCACCCCUACAUACGGCCCUACCUCGCAUGCAACCCGCCGGCUGGGCCACGGCAACGCGGGACUAUGCCUCGUACCACCCUCUGCUUUCCCUUGUACUUGGAGUUCAAGGACAACGUGCAAGGCCACCCCCCAACGCAUGUAUGUGUCCCUCCCAACACCAACUCCCGGGUUGCGCACCUGGCCGUUGUGUGCAAACGAGAUACCGGCUCACGCGUACACCGCUAUGCACUGCCCGUGGGACGCGGCUCAGGCGCUCAGCUCCAGCUCCAAAGGCACUCAGCUCCAGCUGACCAGCUCCAAAGACAGGCGCGCACACGUUUGCAGUGAAUGGCAGUCACCUGUGCAGGGGCAAACGCACACAGGCACAAGCACCAGCACCAUGCAGCUGCUAGCACGGAGUCGCUUGCCGCCCCUCAUCAUAAGGCCCAGAGUACAAGUAUGCCAUCAAGCCCUGUGCCACCCACCUGAUUUCCCAACGCCACAGUGCCAGAAAAUCCACUGCUGCGCGGUGGUGUAUUGCCGUGUAGGCGUCCAUGGCUAAAGAGAAAAGAGGUGCACUGGCUUACUUUGCGUCGUGAUCAGUUACAACUGUCAGGCGUCCGCAGGGGCGCGCCGUUGCUCACUGUCAAUUCCCGGUGUGGCGAGUUGCGCACACAAUCUCGGGUUAUUCAUUUGGGUCACAUAUUGAAGCUCCACAAACCGACUCUCCUAUGUAGUUGCGAACCAAGAGUCACGUUCCUAGCCUACUCAAAGCCUCUGCCAUAGACGAAGGGCAUCACGUACGGCUCUCUUCAAUCUUACGACAGCCCACGAUGUCACCGCCGUGCUAGCAGCAUUUCAUAAAUCGCCAGAUUGAUGUCUUCAUAUACAAAGCUACCAGUCAAGCAGCAGUCACAAGCGUUUGUCAAGUAAAUCGUCGUCUUGGUCAACCGUGUGUGUGUGCGUGUGGUGACAUCGAAGUCACAAGAGUCAUGCCAUGUGGGUCAGCCGUCAUUCAAGUCAGCGUCAAGCUUCAGACCCCCGCAACCAAGGGGGUCACUCCUGCUACGCGGGGUCGCGCGGCGUCGUGCGCACUGCAACUCACGCCAAGGGGCGCCCAUGCCCUCUCGCAAAGUCCCCGCAAAAAAUUGGGCAAGAUGAAUUCUACACUUUAUAGGAGUCAACAGUCUUCCGCGCCCAAUCACGCGCUCAAUGCCACUGCCUGCGCAUCAGGGCUAAGCCUCUGCAGCUCAUCACAUGCUGCGCUGCGACCAAUCCUAAUGGCAUCGCUUUACUGAGGGCUGUUGGGCAUCCAGUUCUGGAACACGCCGACCUUGUGGUUGCGGAUGCGGGCAUCGAAGAACUGCUUAAACGAGUUGUCGUAGCGCUGGGCCGCGGCGGCGCUCUUCUGCUCGUCUUCGUAGUAGGCGAUGCUGGAGGUCUGCAAGGCGGAUGCGGAGGGGAGGGGAGAGGGGAGUGGGAGUCAGGACGGGGAAGGAAGGAGGCGGGGAGGCCGGGGCGGGGAGACGCGUCGUUCAAGGGCCGCACAGCUAGGGCUUCCGGAAAUUGCUGGCACUGGCAAGCGACCGCACAACACCUAUCAGUCUAUCAGUCCAAAUGCGUGAUGGCUGGCAAGGCUGUGUUGACGUGUACACUUGAGCUCGAAACGGAAUUGUGCGGAAAAAGGUUCCCGACGACACAAUUGUGGCUAGCCGGUCGGCUCACCUCGGGGUCAGCGGUGGGCACACGGCAGCACAUCGCGACGAAGGCAGCGCUGGCGUAGGUGAUGGGCAGCAUCAGGAUGUAGGCCUGCGGGAUUAAGGCACAAGCGGGGUGUCAGCGCGACCAGCAUGCGGAAUGUGCUGGCGUUGGCAAAAAGCGAGUGACGACCGCGACAGCACGUAAGGCAGCGCUGCGUGGUGGAAUCAGAACGACUCACAUCCAGGGGCAGCUUGAAGGGCAGAGGCAUUCUUGAGCGGCGACGAAGGAAAGGACUCGCGGCGCGAGAGGAAGGACUAGUAUUAGUAGUGGGCGAAGGGAGCAGCGAGUAUUCAGUGUGCUUGUGUGGAGCUGAAUUGCUAUACACCAAAGGGCUGGCCGGCGCGGCUUAAAUAGCGUCGCGAGCACCCCUCGCCAUUCCGCGCCCAUUCCGUCCUUCGGUCGUCCGGGACCGCCCCCGUCCUUCGGUACCGGCGCGGCUUGCAGACCGCGCCCAAGAGCCCCGCUGAAUUUUGGAUAAGUGAAACCAGAAUAUCAUUAUAGAUUGGGUACAAGCUCCGGCACUGAGCGAGCCCAACGAGUUCGACUUAAACGUCUCGUAAGCCUGUCACAGCUUGCGCGGGUUUGCAAGCAUACGAAUAGGUUUCGAUAACGUGUAUCUUUCGGACACAACGAAAGUAGACAGACAGACACACAAGAAAAGUUGACACAUCACUCCUUUGUACCGCCCGUUGGGCCAGAAGCUUGGGGCGGGUCCAUUCUUGCUUCCGGCGCUUGCGCGCUGGCGCGCGCCGAUACGAGUCUGGGCUAUAUGUGCCGAAAACUAUCAUUAGAGCGCAACGUAAUGCACGCAGUGGUGUCGCGGGGUGUCCAAGGGUCGCCCUGGAACGAUGCCAAACGCGCCAGCCCGGACACGUCCCGUUUUGGAGGCCCAAGGCGCCGCGCAUUGUCACAGGGCUGAUCCUUAGCUCGUCCCGGGACGGUUACUCAGGCCGCGGGGAUGGUAUUCCGGCCGCGCAGCUGCGAUUUCAGUAUGGGCUUUCCAUUGUUGCCACUUCACACCAAAAGGCAGUCGAAGGGGCCUACCAAGGCGGGCUUAACGGCCCAGGGUUGACAUAGGAGUGCAUAAGAAGCCUUGAUGCGGAGGAGUCAAAGGGAGCUCAUGGCCGCGGCGAAGGACAUUUCGUCCCCGUCAAAACGGCCUCAUGCUGGGGUGGAAUUUCGCUGUGGCCACAGCUGCUCUUGUUGCCACAUUUUGCUUUGCUCUUUGUACUCGAGGCAUUCGUUCCCGCCUCGACUCGACACAAGUCUCUACUGCCGCAGCUUAGCGGCUGCCAUGGCGCUCCAGCGCCAGCAACCUGUACCAUCACCUCUCAUUUUGAUGCUCUCCACGUGCUCACGCGCCAACCAGACCGUAAAACACGUGAACACGGUGAACUGAACCUCACUGCUCUAAGGCUCGCAUUACCGCAACUAGUAUGCCUGCCGGCACCAUUCCAAGUCGUAACGCUAUCCGGGAUGUUGCACACUAACACGGCCCCCUUCCCAUUCUACCCGCCGCUCCCUGCCGUUCCCUCGCUGCUUCCGCACACCACACUCCAAGCCCUCCUUGCCCUUCUGCCGCCUUUCCCUUCAUCAAAAGAAACAACUCAAGCCCUCAACCCAAAUCUUACUGCACAUUACUCUCAGAAACCAAUGCGAUAUCACCACCUGCGUCAAAUUCACGAAUUUCACUUUCGCCACUGUGCCUCAUCGCUCAUCACCAAUGUGCAUCCUCAUACACACACGCGCACACGCUCACACUUGCACACGCACCAAACAAGAAGCGAGGCGCGCCCCGCCCCAGCCCAACCCUGUCCGGCUGCCCUGGGACCCACACGCAGGGCUGGAGGCCCGCCAGUAUGGGCCGCGGCGGCGGCGCCGCCGCCGCCCCAGCCCCCCGCCUGAGCCGCACCCGCUCACUUCUUCUUCUUGGCCUCAGCUCCCGAAUGGAAGGCCUGUAGGGCAGAGAGCAAAAUCCAAACGCAAGUGCAGUGAGGACGGCUGGCACGCCACACCGGCACGGUCACUAUGGGCCGGGGCGGCUGCAAGCGCGCUAGUCCCUCAGCCCUGAAGGCGGCCGCCACCCUCCCAUCCAAGCCCGCCAGCCCUCCCUGCCGCCCAUCGACUCCCGGUGCCCCCAGCCCGCAGACCCCGCAGUCGGUGGUCCGUUUGCGGUUCUGGGUAUCAAACAUGAUUUGGCAUUGGUUUCAACUACCACCGCCGCCUCGUUUUGAGCUGGGAUUGGACUUCACUAAACCCCCAACCCCGCAGCUCCCCGCCUCACCUUGGCCUUCUCCUUCUUGAGCCGCUCCUUCUCGGCCUUAGUCAUCUGGGCAGGGCCGGGCCGGGCAGGGAAAGCAUAAGGACAGCUCAGACGCAUCCAGCAAAGAGGUACAGCUGUUGACGUGCGUUGCGGAACUAAUGCGGAGCUGAUGGCGACAGUGCGUGUGCGGUGGCACACACCCAGCGCCGCGACCACGCCCGCCUCAUCCGGCCGUGCAUUGUCCACACCGCCAGACACACGCACAAUCACACAGCAUCUCCCCCACGUGACACGCACCUUGGACUUGGCCUUUAUGUUGUCCUUCUCGAUCUCCUUGACCUUGGCCUCCUUCUCCUCCAUCUUGGCCGCCUCAUCCCUGCACGGCAUGAUGACAUGGGACGCGUCAGCGGCGGCGGCGGCGGUGCUGACAUCACAGCUACACAUCAGCAGGCACACACGCUGUCGCCUAAGCCCGGUAGAGCCCCGAACGCAGUGCAAACCAACAGCGCGCGGUCAGAGGUCAGCCCGGUUGGCUCUCUGCCACGCAGCUGCACUCGUUGGCACAAAAGGCGCUGUGCAAUAACCAAAUCUUAUAGUAAAUUGUAAAUUUAAACAUUACGCAAAAUACUAUAAACUCACUCGUUCUUGGACAGGUAGUAGUCGUAGUCGCCCUGGUAGUCCUGCAGCUUCUGGCCCUCCACCAGCAGCACGCGAGUGGCGAUCUGGGUCGAGGCGGUUCGAGGUGGUGGUUAUGGUUGUGGUUGUGGUUAAGGGUGCGGUUGUGGAAGAAGGGGAGAGAAGUGCAGCGGCAGCGGCAGGGGCAGGGCCUCAGGCGACAGGGGCACGGGGCAACGGUGUGGUGAAGGGGCGCGCGGCUGGUGAGGGGCCGGUGGCGUGAGGCACGUGCCGAGCCCCGGAAGCCCACUCGCUCCCCACACGACACACCCGCACGCGUGUGUGUGUGCGCCCACGACCGCCACAUCCACCACGCACGAAUCAACCGCCCUGACCGCCAACCGUCCCAACCGUCCCAACCGCCAGGUCCGCCCCUCCUCACCUGCCGCAGGAAGUAGCGGUCGUGGCUGACGGCGAUGACGGCGCCCUGGAAGGCGCGGAUGGCCUCCUCCAGCGUCUCCUUGCUGGGGAUGUCCAGGUGGUUGGUGGGCUCGUCCAGGACCAGCAGCGUGCCCUGCGGUACGGCAGUUAGUUGGUUACGGUAGUUGAGAAGUGCCCGCGUGCAUUAGUAAGGAUAGAGGCACAGGGGUGACGUGUGUGUAAGUGUGCGGGUAGGGGGGAAGCGCAAGGACGGCGAGGGAGGGCGCAACACGGUGAUUGUGACAGCGAUGGUGCACGUGUCGGCGGUUGCCCCAGAAGUCAGCGGUACUCCGUCGGUCCGCCGCCGCUCCGUCAAGCUGCUGCUGCUGCUCGCCUGCCCCGGCCCCACCCGUCCAACCUCCCACACACACAUGCAAACACACACACACACACACACACACACACACACACACACACACACACACACACACACACACACACACACACACACACACACACACACAUGCAAACACACACACACACACACGCACACACCUGUGUGCACAUGAACUUGGCGAGCGCCAGACGCGCCUUCUCGCCGCCACUCAGCACCUUGACCUGUGUGCCAUAGUGAGAGAGUGCUUUGUGAAUGUGGGCAAAGAAGCUGGCGAAGGGGACGAGGAGUGUCAGGGGUGCGGACAAGUCAUAGUGCUCCUCAAGGCCAUUCGCCGCACAAAAACACGCCUCUAUCUACUACUCCACUAGCCAGCUGCCUCGUCCCCAAUCCCUGAGCUCGCGCGAUCUCUAUUGAUAUCGCUACCUCUCCCACGCUACCCACGCUUACAUUCCCUCAUGGUAAUCUGUCAAACUAACCUUUUUAUCCAUGGCGUUGCCGCUGAACAGCAUGCGGCCCAAAAGCGACUUGAGGUCGUUCAGCUUGGCGUCAGGCGAGGACUGUGGGGGAAGGGGGAGAGGCAGUGGGAGAGAGGGGUGGUGGAUGGCAAAGGAUGGAACGGUGAAGGGGGGAAACAAACACACAGCGCGUGGGCAAGCCUACCGAGGGCAGGUGGGAUGCGUGACUGCUAUCGCCUAGAAGGCACAACCGCGCAAGCACGCACGCAGCUGCGGGCACCACGGACACCCGCAUCCUCUUCUUCGUGUCUCAGGUCUCUUUACUGGGGCUGGCAAAACAAUCCCAUCCCUCAUCCCAUCGACACGCCACGCCAUGCCCCCCGCCCAUGCCCCCUCCCCCCUUACCUUGACCAGUGUCUCCAGCACCGUCAGCUCCAGGUCCAGCGCCUCCGCCUGGUUCUGCUCAAAGUAGUUGGGCUCGAUGUUGUGCUCGCCCAGGCGCACCGUGCCCUGCGCGUGUGUGUGUGAGUGUAUGUGUGUGUGGGGGGGGGGUUGCACUCAUGAGUGUCUAACAUGUGAAUGCGUAGGGGGAGAGGCGGCAGCGAAUGGGGUUUUGGGAGCAGGAUAUGAGGUGGUGGGGUUUGGGAUGAUGUGUGAGUUGUCCGUGGAACACCGUAACGGGUUUUGGUAACGGGUUUUGCUUUGUCCGUUGCAUCGUACGCGUGCAGCAUGCAUCGCACUGCCACGCCCCCCUAGCACAACGCCGCACCACCCGCGCACCUGCUGCGGCGCCUCGCGGCCCAUGAUGAGCCGGAGCAGCGUGGACUUGCCUGCGAGGGGAGUGGGUGGAUGUGUGGGUGUGUGGUGGCGACACGAGAAGUCAAGGACGAGAUGGAGGGCGAGAGAGUUAGACAGGAUGGCGGGUGGCGGUCGGCAUGCUAUCGUGGGUUACCGUACGUCUCUUACAUGGCUCAGCAAGCCGGCACAAAAAUUCGCCUCCUGUCCUCAACUGUCUACAUCCCCUCAACAAUACUUGCUUUUAAACACAUAUCUCAGCAGCAGUUAUCGUUUUUAUCAAACUCUCACCCGCUCCGUUGGGUCCGAUGAUGGCCACCCUGUCGCCCUUGGCGAUCUCCAGGUUAGCGUUCUUGAACAGCGGCCGGCCCGGGUAGGCGUGUGUCAGGCCCUCAAUGGACAGAACCUGCAGUGGGGGUUACAUUACAUUUCAUCAUUGGCUAUGGCGAGCGGGGGAAAGAGGCACAGUGGGGGUGCGGGGGAUUACAUCACCAGAUGGGGCGCAGGGUGGCGGCGGCGGGGUGGUACAGGGCUCCAUGGCACGGGUUUACGGGCGAGCCCCACGAAUAGCUCCCACGGCAGUGGUGGGCCGCAGCGGGUGGCGAGGCGUCAGGAAGCGGCGGCGGUGAGAGGGAGCCCGCCGUUGCGGCACCAUGCCAUGCGCCUCCCCGUUGUUUCGGUUCGUCAGGACCAUAUUGGAAGUUUGGCACUCCCGGGAACACCAGCCCUGCCCCCCGCCGGCCCUAGGGCCACACACGCCGCCGGCCCAGCCCACACCUUCUGCCCCAUCUUCUCCACGGGCGGGAAGGUGAAGGCUUUGCGCUUGGGCACGAAGGGCUUCUCGAUCAGCCCCUCCGCCUUGAUGCGCUCAAGAGUCUUCUCGGCCUGUGGGUGUGGGUAUUUGUUGUGAUGCCGAGUGCUCAGUACUACAGCUACAGCUCGUGUCGCUUGGAAAUCGUACGCUUGGGAGCCCCCCCCGCCUUGUAUUACAUGCCGCGGGUGACCGGCUUUGGCAUCGGCAUCGGCAUCGGCACGCGGGGGGGCCGUGUCCGCCCCGGCCUCCCCCACCUCCUUCCACCCCAGCUCCCACCUGCCACCCCACAUUCCUCCCCGCCCCAUUUCGUUGGGCUCGGGCACCCCCAACGCCGUCCCCCCCCCCCGCUGUACCGCUUUUCCAACCACCUUUGCAACCCCCGCCCACUCCCCCCCAUCCCAUUGCCCUGGGUUCGGUUAGUUUGGGCUGGUAUCUACGACCCCCCCCCCCCCCCCACACACACACACACACGCCCACCUGGCUGGCUCUGCCGCUCUGCGCGCCCCCUGCCAGUCGCUGCAUGAUCUCCUCCUGCUUGGCGAUCUCCUUCUGCUGCUUCUCCCACGCCGCCCACUGCAGAGCCGUCUUCUCGUUCUGCAGGGCGGAGGACGGGGGAGGGGGUUGGGGAGGUGUUGGGGAGGUGUGGGGAGGUGUUGGGGAGGUGUUGGGGAGCCGGGGUAGGUCGGGCAGCGGGCUGGGAAGAGGUAAGGCGGUUGCAGGGCCGCCGACCGCUUCAUGGCGGGCCGUUUGUGCAGCCCGAACCACUGUCUCUUCGCUUCCUCCAGGCGUCCUGCCUCGCCUGCUCCUGCCCCCCUCCCCCCCUCCCUUCCCCCUUCCCCCCUCCUCCCCCUCCCUCCCUUUCCAUCUCCCCCUCCCCCUCCCCCUCCCUGCCCUCCCUCCCUCACCUUGCUGUUGACGUACUGCGUGUAGUUGCCUGGGUAGGUUGUGGCCACGCCGCGCUCCGUCUCCACGAUCUUGGUGCACAGCUGGUCCAGGAACUCGCGGUCGUGGGACACAAUCACCAUGGGCACCUUCGGGGGAGGGGGUGGUUGCGAGGGGAGGGGCGGAGGGGAGGGGGAAGAAGAGAGUUACACUCGGGGGGUGGCACUGAUGACACGGUACACUCAUGGUACACAUGCCCAUGAGCCCAUGAUUCCCCGCUUGCCCUCCCACGCCUCCUCCCUCCUGCCUCCCACCUCGGCCCGCCUCCUCCAGCUCUCCUGCCUCCCAGCUCGUCGGCCCCGCCCCCUUCCCUCCUGACCCUCCUCCCUCCCUCCCCCCACCUCCCCCAACCUCUCCCUCCCUCACCUCCUGUUUGCGCAGGUAGCCCCCCUCCCCACCUCCUCUCCUCCCUCACCUCCUGUUUGCGCAGGUAGCCCUCCCUCCCUCCCCUCACCUCCUGUUUGCGCAGGUAGCCCUCCAGCCACUGGAUGGCGUCCAGGUCCAGGUGGUUGGUGGGCUCGUCCAGCAGCAGCAGGUCGGGGUCCUAGGGGGGAUGAGGGAGGGGGGGUUUGGAAAGAUUGGUACAGAGAAGUGUAGCGAAGUAGGGGGAGGAGGGGGGUUGCAAAGAUGGAUGGACCAGCGGCGGGAGGUUAGGCAGCGUGGGACAUACCGCACCACACGUCCACAGGAGCGGUGUUGUUUUGAAGGGAGCGGUGUGCCUUUCUUUUUCCGCCCUUUCAUCCGGCAUCCCACGACGCCUCCACCCACCCACCCCCCUCCCACCCCCCACCUGCAGCAGCAGCUUGCCCAGGCACAUGCGCAUCUGCCAGCCUCCGCUGAAGCUGGCCACCAGCCGGUCGUUGUCCUCCUGCUUGAAGCCCAGCUCCGGCAUCAUCUGGUCAAUCUUCUUGUCCAGCAGGUCCACGUCCAGGUCCACCACCUGGCGGCGGUUGAACGGGGAGGGGGGUGAAAGGGGGGAGAGGAGUUGUGUUGGGGUUAUGUGUUUACUUUUGUGGUGCAUCCGCAUCUGCGCCCCCUCUCAUCUUGACACCUCCUCCCACUGUACCCGCACCCGCACCCACACCCGCACCCGCACCCGCACCCGCACCCGCACCCGCACCCGCACCCGCACCCGCACCCGCACCCGCACCCACACCCGCACCCGCACCUACACCCGCACAUCCAUCCUACAUUCGCAAAUCCAUCCCUGUACUCGCGGCAUUCGCUAUCGCUAAACAUUAAUCAUGAAUGUGAUGCGCACACCUUGUUGUUGAGUUUGUCCAGCUCGUCCAGGAUCUCCUGCAUGAGGUCCAUGUCCUCGCCCACGGACUCCAGGCUCACAGAGAGCUCCUCCUGCCGCCGCUUCACCUGCGAGCACACACACGUGCGGCAGACGACACACGCACGCGACCGUGUUAGCAGCAGUAGCCGCAGAGGGGUGUUGUAAAUACCAGAGAUAAGCACCCGGUAAACCGAACCCAAUGCAAUAGAGCGAGGAGGAGAGCGUAGCCUACGCUUUGACAACGGAGUGGCAUGCGACAAUAGUCCCCAUCCCCGAAAUGCACCGAGUUCCCAGCAGUGGUGUGUGUGUCAUAGCCGCAGUAGCCGGGGGGUUAGCAGGGGGCUCAGCACCGUGCUGCGUCCGACGCUGCCGCGCCGCAGUCAGGUGCGUGGCAGCCACAGGAGGUGAGCUGAAGUGGUCAAUCCCCCACCGCAACGCGGCCGCCGCCGCUCCAUCCUCGCCCCGGCUGAGCCCAGCCGGGUCCACUCCUUGAUGCACCCCCCCCUCCUCCCUCCUCCCUCCUCCCUCCUCCCUCCUCCCUCCUCCCUCCUCCGCCCCCUGUCAGCAGUCUUCAGUGCAUCCUGUCCCGCUUUUCCAAACAUCCUUACAAUUCCCCCUUCCCCCUCCUUCCCCCUCCUUCCCCCUCCUCCCCUCCCCCACAGCCACCGCGCACCUUCAUCUGCAUCUCGUACACCGAGUAGAACUCCUCGCGCACGGUGCGCCCCGGCUGCACGUCAAACUCCUGUGCCAGAUAGGCGAUGCGCAUGUUGCGCCGCGCCUUCACCACCUCGCCGCUGCAAUGAGGGAGCGGCAGGAGGCAAGAUGAAAAGGAGGAUUGUUCAGUUCAUGUUCCCUAAAAUUUGGCGCUCGGAACUCUCCAGUCUCCUGCCCUACCCCUGCAGCGCCUUCCCUGCCCUUGCAGAUACACAGUCUGCCCCCGCACCCAUCGCCCCCGUCCCCCCUGACCCCGCAGCAUCCCCGCAAAAGCAAGGGCCAAGCUCUCCUACUCGCUCUUCUGCAUUGGGUUCGGUUUAGUUCGGUUGGUGUCUAACCCACCCCCCAUCCCCACCCCACACACACACCCACAGACGCACACCUGUCUGGCUGCAGACGGCCCAUGAUGAUCUGCAGCUGCGUGGUCUUGCCCGCGCCGUUCACACCUAGGCAGCACGGCGACAGCGGCAAUGACGUGGCAUUGAGCAGACGGUACUACUGGAUUGUGUGUGCAGCGACGGCCGUUUGCAACCCCAAGGCCUUUGUCGUUUGAAAGCCCGAUUGCGCUCCUUUGCUUCCCGCCAUUUUCCCACCCACAUGCACGCCUGCGCCGCUUCCUCUUUCCAAACCCAACCUCCCCCUUCGCACCAGCCACCUCCAGCUCUAUCCGCCCCACCCACCCGCAUUCACCGACCCACCAACAAUCUCUCCUCUCCUCCCUCCGCUCCUUCUCCCGCUCCUCCUCCUGCCCCUCCACUCCACUCACCCACGAGGCCCACGCGCUCGCCCUUCUUGACCUCCCAGCUCACGUCCUUGAGCACCUGCUGGUUCUUGAACGUCAUGGCAAUCUGGGGUGCGGUGCGGGGGCGGGGGGCAGGGUGGGGUGGAGGGAUCGGUGGGGGCGUGUGGGGAAGGGAGUUAGUGGGGCGUGGAAGGGCUGGAAUCCGUGGGGCGUGGAGGCUGAGGCGUGGAGGAGGCUGGGGCGUGGAGGAGGCUGGGGCGUGGAGACUAGGGCGUGGAGGCGUGUGCCCCCGCACAACGCACGCAUUAGCGUUCAGCCCCGGCAGCCGCGCACGCAACCCGGUUCCCAAAACCAUAACACUCAUACAUUCACGCAACGCCGCCCUCCCCCCUCAUCACAUGAACGCCACCCCCCCCCCCCGCCCCAGGGCCCUCACGUUCUCCAGGCGGAUGCCGGAGCUGAUGCCGGAGCUGCCAGUCUUGCCGCCCGCCGCGGCGGUGGCGUCGUCGUUCAGCGUCUCCACGGUGGGCGCGAUGGGCUGCUCCGAGGGGUCGGCGGCGGCGGCGCCGGCGACCGGCGGCGCCGUCGCCUGCUCCACCUGAGUCUGUGUGUGUGUGAGAGAGAGGGAGAGGCGGAGGUGGAGGAGGAGGAGGAGGAGGAGUGGGUUUGGUUGGGGCAGGGAUGUGGGGUUGGAGGAGCUGUUGUGGGGUUUGGCAAGGAUGUGGGGUUUGGCGGGAGGUAACGGAGGGGCGGGAGGGGGAGCGGGGAAGUGGGCGGAAGCGCGCUCGGGUUGAGGCGUGCCCUGGGAGUGCGAGGGGAUUCUGCCCACGCGCAGUGCACAGGUAACGGGCUGCUGUCAUGGCAGGCUGAUGGCAGGCUGAUGUAUUGGCGAUGGAGCGGCGGGGGCGGUGGCUGCAGCAGGGUGCCUCGGGCGACACCGCGUUGACUGCCUGGUGGGUGCAACAGCCUCCGGCAGACGCUGCCGUUCUCGCGGCACCGCAGCUGCUGAGCCCAAACCGGCGCGCUUGCGCGGCCUUAUACUCUUCAGCUGCACACGCAAACGCGCUGUGGACGCUUGGAUGAGGGAGCAGGAGGGAGCUGCGGGAACGCGAGCGCCGGGAGAUUUGGCGGGUGGCCGCUGCGGUGUUUCGUGGCUGCUGAGUCCACAGGUGCCACACGCGACUAGCCCGCGUUCGCCUGCGUUCGCUAGUUCAAGCCCAUCCCAAUCCGCCGUUAUGUCUAUUGUGCGUGUCGCGGGGCCGCGCCAGCGACUGGCAGCCAGCACGAAGGCCGAUGAAGCUUUAGAGGUGCCGGGCGCCUCAACCGCCAAUUUCGCAAGCUGGUAGCCCGGCUGCUUGUUUACAAGUCUGCAAAGCAACUUACCUCAGCUACGCGCACUAUGAUGCUGCUCCGGCCGCUGGAGCAAGGGUCCUGCUGCUCCACGGUCCAUCGUGCCAGGCGAGCGGCAGCCUUGCGACCCAGACGAGAGUAGUUGAUAGGCGCAAAGCGCCGCGGCGCAAACACAGGAGCAGCCGUGCGGCCGCUGCUGCUUGGGCGAUUCUCAAGCACCUGGCGCUGCAUUUCUCUAGUCUUAGCUUGGCCCGAGUCAAAAAGCUACGACUGGCACCGUAGCGACCAGGUGAGUAGCUAAAUGCGGGGUGGGAUGUGAAAGGGCGAGUUCUUUGAGAUGGCCAAAAGCCAAGGAUUGCAGUGAGGGUCGAAAUGGAUAGCUCAAACGUGGUGCAGAUGAAGGGAACACAAACCAAGUAGUAUUGCGCUAAGUGUUGGGGCUCCUUGUGAAGUUUUUUUGUGUGCAAGGAGAAGAACCCUGUCUGCGCAGCGACCGACUGGAGUUAAGCUGACCGCAUACAAUACUGUACAAGCACCCACAUAGUAUACAUACAACCUGACUGCUCACCGCCUGCUCACGGAGACUACCGCCUAGGAAACGAGUGGAGUGGAGCUGGGCAACACCAUCGACCGCUCGCGCAGCGCUACCUAGCGCGCGCCCUCGCGCGACCGCCUGCGUCACGGCUGUGAGAAUGGCGAGCUCUAGAUGCGGCCCGCCAUCGUCGCUUGCCAUCGCGCCAGGCAGCGUCGUGGGCUGCCGGCCCGUCGGCGGUUUGGCUCGCUGCUGCGGUGUCCAGCUGCCAUCCUCGCACCGCGGCCGGUCGGCGAGCUCGGCACGGCUAACGCCGCUUGCCGCGCUAACCCAGCGCUGGAGCCUGACCGGUGCCAGCACCCCAAAACCGGCUAACGCCAGCGCUGCUGCCACUGCUGUUAGCGCCGCGGCUACUGGCUCACAACGUCGACUGGCACCUGGCGCUAGCGGGCGGCGCCCGCUGCUGGCGCCGCCCGCCGCCGCGCCGGGUCCAGGGCCAAGCCUGCUCAACCGUGCCGCCCCGGAAGCCGCUACCUCCCCCUCCUCCCCCUCCUCCCCCUCCGCCUCCUCAUCAGCAUCCCCCGCCUCCGCUGCCGGAUCCGCCGCAGCGCCGCCGCCGCCCACCACCCCAGCCCUGGGUGGCUACCUCUCCCUCGCGUUCGUGCCCAUCCUGUGGGGCACCUACAACCCCGCCAUCCGCUACCUGUACGCGGAAUCCGAUCCGCUGGAUCCAGCAUCACUGACUGCCGUACGAACGAUCGUGUCGGCGGGCGCGCUGCUACUGCCCGCCGCCGUCGGCUACCUGUGGACGCAAGGCGCCGCCGCCUGGCGCCGCCGCAGUGACGACAUCGCCGCCGCAGCAGCAGCAGCGGAGGCAGCGGAGGCGGUGAUGGGAAGCGAUAGCGGCAGCACGGGCACUAGCAGCAGUAGCAAUGGCAGCAGCAGCAGCAGCAGCAGCAGCAGUGGCAGUAGCAGCCACAAUGGCAAUAGCAGCAAUGGCGCCGCCAGUGGCAUUGAUGUCCACCACGCGCCUAUGAGCACAGCCAUGGCAGUGGUCACGGACGGCGCCGCUGACGGCGUGGCAGCCGCCGCCGGCGCCACGCCCGCUGAGGACGACCCCGCGCUAACCACAGCGUCGGCGUCCGCCUCUGCCUCCGCCGCCUCCGCCGCCUCCGCAACCGCCUCCGCAUCCGCCUCCACCGCCUCAUCAACAGCAGCACCCACCACCGCCCUCGCGGCAUCAUCAGCAGCGGCAGCUACAGCCAGCACCCGCGCCAGCACCGGCAGCAGUAGCGCGGGCCUGUUCGCGCCGCCGCUGCACACGGCCCGCCUGGGUCCGGUGCUGACACGCACCUUCAACAGUGUGGUGCUAGGGGGACUGGAGCUGGGGCUGCUCAACUUCAUGGGCACGGCACUGCAGGUGUGUGCGGGGGAGGCGGGGGGGGGCGGGAAGGGGCGUGUGUAUAUUCCAGCCCAACCUAAACUGAACCCAAGUGGGUGGGAAUGGGCGGGGGAAAAGGAAAUGGGAGGGGGGGUAAGUUCAUUCCAGAACUCUAAGGGGGGUUAUGUGUGCUUCAACACCCACACACACACACACACACAUCGCAUACACUGUCUUUGCGCAACGUUUUCCUUGUGCUCUUUAACACACACACCACACACACACACACAUACACACACACACACACACACCUAUUCCAUGUGCACGCAGGUGGAGGGCCUGCACAGCACCAGCGCCACACGCGCUGGCUUCCUGGCCGAGGUGACGGCGGUGCUGGUGCCCGCGGUGUCGUACCUGGCGGGGUACGACAUCCCGCGCCAGAUGUGGGUGGCGGUUGGCAUCGGGUUGGUCGGCUCGACCCUGGUCGCCUACGACGCCAGCCUAGCAGGCCAGCAGGCCAAGAGCGACGGCAGUAGCAGCGUCAGCGGGAGCAGCGGGGGCAGUAGCAGUGGGGGUGUGGUUGCGGUGGAGCCGGGAGCGGUGGCGGCGGCUGCGCCGGCGGCGGCGGCGGCGCCGCCCGCCCUGGCGGUGGACGGCGCGGUCACGAGCAGCAGCAGCGAUAUGGUCACGGCGACAGCAACGGCGACGGCGGCGGGAGAUGUUGCAGCGGAAGCGUUGGCGGCGGCGACAGCGGCAGCGCCGGUGGCGGAGGUGGCGGCCGACGCGGCGGCCAGCGCUGCCGUUGCCGCGGUUGCCAGCACCGCCGCCGUCGUCAACACGGCCGGCAGUGCCUUGCCGCUUGCGGACCCAGCCAUCCUUGCAGACACCGCCGCCGCGGCCGCCGCCGCCGCCGCCGCCGCCACCGCCGCCACCGCCACCGCCACUACCGCCAGCGCCGCCGCCGACAUCGCAGCCGCCGCCGGCGACGCCGCGUUGGCGGUGACGGAGGCGCUCGCCUCGGCAUCGGCCGCCGCCGCGGAUGCUGUCGCCACGACCGCGGACGCCGCCGCGGCCUCCGUCGCUGCGACCACCGCUGCUACUGCCGCGGCCACGGCGGUUGUUGCCGGCACGCCGGGUGCUACAGCCCUGGAGGCCACGGGCGGGGAGUUGUACCUACUGCUGGCGUGCCUCUUCUACUCCGUGUGCACGGGUGAGUGCGAGAGCAGGUGCAGCUGCUUAGCAGGGCAGCUCUUGAGCGGAGCGGAGCUGCUCAGCAGCCUUCGCUUUGAAAUGUUGCAGCGCACGCAACUUUGCUGGUUUCGCGCUGUCCUCCUGCCAGCCAUUGUUCCCGGCCGGUGCCACCGCACGCAUGUCCUUGCAUAUCCUAAUUAUCAACACAAAUACAAACACGCCCAUCCUUGCACACACUCUUUUGCCCUUGAAUGCACAUCGACACACACACACACAUACACAAUAUAGACACGCCUACCCUUGCAUACAGUCUGUUGCCCUUGAAUACACAUUAACACACACACACACACACACACACCAAUACACACACGUGCCUUUUCACACAGUGCGCAUGGGCAUCUACUCGCCGCGGCACGACACGGUGUCGCUGGCCGCCAUGAAGAAGGUGGGGCUCAGCUCAAUGAGCCUCAUGUGGAUGGCCUCCACAAACCUGCGUGAGUGGGCCGCCGGGCCGGGGAGCGAGGGACGAGGAGCGGGAGCGGGAGGGGGAGGGGGCGGGGUUUGUUUCAACCACAUCCCGUGACAGGAUCUCCCCCUGACAAACCCGCAGCCCCCUUCACCGGUGUACUGUUGACCUCACACCCUAUACCUUUCAUAACACCCGCCCCUGGCCCCCUCUCCUCUCCUCCCCUCUCCUGCCCUCUCCUCCCCUCUCCUCUCCUCCAACCCCCUGCCCACAGAGCACGGCGCGGCCCUGGGCUCCGUGUUCUCCUUCCCCGACCUCAGCUCGCGCUCGCCCACAUCGCUGGCGGUUCUGGCGUACAGCGGCAUUGGGCCCGGAGCGCUGGCCACGCUGCUGCAGGUGCGACAUCGCCCCUCUCCAUGCAGCGCUGCAAACUCCCCGCCUCACCCGCCCUCACCCGCCCUCGCCUGCCCUCCCUCGCCCGCCCCUCACCCGCCCCCUCCCGCUGCCCUGCCCUCCCCUCUCCUUAGCCCCCACCCCGCCCAGACUGAUCUGCUGCAACAACCUGUCCACGUCAUCUCGUCUUACCUAAUCGUGCACAUGGCACCUCCCCCCCUACAGGUCCAGGGCCUGUCCAGUGUGCCCGCCACCACCGCCCAGGUCAUCUACAGCUUCACGCCCCUGGCCACCGCCUUCUUCGCGUUCUGGAUCCUGGGCGGCGAGCCCACCGGGCCGCUGUCCUGGGCUGGAGGCAUGCUGCUCAUAGGUGGGUGGGUGGAUGGAUGGGUUGCCAGGUGGUUGCGUGGUCGGGUUGUGCAUAGGUGGGUGGCGGUGGGUGGGUGGAUGGGCUGUCAGUUGUCUUGGUGGGGACUUGCUGGGGGAAACAGGUCUGUAGUUACAUUUUUGUUCUUGUGGUGACCUGUACAGGCGCCGCAUUGAUGGCGGCGAGUGUUCAGAACGCGGCACACCAGCAGAAGCUGCGAGAGCAUGAGGAGGCGACGGCGGCGGCGGCAGUGCUUCUGGCGGCGGCUCAGGCGGAGGCGGAGGCGGCGGGGGCCGGGAGCGCGAUGGAGGCGGCGGGGCCGGAGGCGGGGCCGCUGCCGGCGUCGACGACGGCGGCGCAGAGGGUGGAGAGCGGCGUGAAGCAGGCGGUUUCGGCAACGCGCAAAUGAGGGGACAUGCGGCAUGCGCGGACCUAGUCAGCGAUGAUGUUUGGCUGUGUGCCAGGAGCGUGUGAAAUGGAGCCAAGUUAGAUUGAGAAGAGGAUUGUGAUCGGCGGUGUUGAGGAGCGAGGCAGUCAGCGCGUGGGUGUCGCGCCGCGCUGCUUUCUGCUCCAAAGGUGUAGGCUGUAGUGAGACGUCAGCAAGUGCUGUGUGCCAUGUGUGGUGUGAAGCGACGCUUGCUGUGUAUGUCUCGGUGUCAGCUCGGAAACCUGCGCGAGCGCUGCUGGUUUGAUUCUGAUCCUUGCAAGGGGGGCUGCCCGAUUUUGAAGCAUCUGCGCCCAAGCCUUAAGGUCUUGUAUGUGUUUACCGUAUCAUUGCAACGCCUAUGUACGGUACCUCUGGUUUUUUCGGCUGGAUAGGCCGUACCAGCACGCGCCCGGACGGGGUGUGUUGCAUCUUUGUUUUGCAUUUCAUUGGCUGUUCGGGGUUUGCUUGCACCCGCUGGCGUGCACCCGCUGACGUGUACAGACUGUGCACUGCGCAGCAGCUGUCACCGCGUGGGUUUGUGCGUGGGGUUAAUGUGGGUGAGGUUCAAUCAUCCACCUUACAAGUGUUAGAUGCUCGAAUGCCCCGGGGUGUGUGGAGUCAGGCUAGCGAGUUCCGGCCUAUGCUGUAGUGCGUAGAUCAGAAGAGUGAGGUAGCAGGAGGCAGGCGUCGCCCAGCAAGGCAUAGCGCAUCGUGGCGGGGGCACCAGACCUAGUUCCGCACACAACGGCAACGCUGCGUCAGUGCCUUUGACGCCAUCACGCUGGGGCAAUUCUGUAAUGUCAGCUCCCGCACGGGUGACGCAUGGAGACCAGGGGUGCCCCUGAUGGAGACGAAGGAGGAGACACGUCCGUGAAGCCCUGGCCCGCGUUACAUUUAUGCAAUUGCCAGACUAUCCUGAAGGAAAUUCCGCUAGAAGGCUAUGGCCGCGCCAAUCCAAAAUUCACACCGAUUCGGGCAUGGUGCGGGCACGCGUGUCGUGUUUGCACCGGCUUUCCCCCGGAUUUUGUGGCACAGCGCAUUAGGCAACGUGGUUUAGGCAACGCACUGUAUUAAUACGCGUAUUAUGGAGAGAGGGUCGCGUACUAGGCAACCCUGGUGCUAUAGAGGUUUAAGGGGCGGCUUGGGAAUAUGUGGAAAGGGAAGGCCCGCGUGGACGGCGUGCGGAAUGUGCACACCGGGGUUGUGACAUGCGCCAUCACCGUUCUGGUAAAACUCGGGUUGAGUUGCAUCGUCCGGAUACGGUGCCAAGCAGCAGGCGACCCCGUAUGGCCACUGAGUCCCUUAAUUCCCGUUGCGCACCAGGGUGAUCAAUCCUAGCCGCUAACGGGGACGACCAGGUUCGUGUUAACACACUUGCUGUUCAGCGUAGAGCUGGCUGCUGCUGCGGGGCCUAGGCAGACCGACGCAGACUAAGGCGGCGGAGUAAGGGACAGAGGCAUGCAAGGCUCGUGGGUUGGGUAUGAGUUGUCACAGAGUGAUAGUCAUUCUGCUAGCUUGCGCUGGCGGCAACUCAACCGGCGAGCCAGGUCGCGGUUGAGUGCUAUAAACCCCUCGGCAAGGCCCAUGCAGCCCGCCAUGCAGGGGAUGACAAACCAUCAGCAACACCGGCACACGGGCACAGGCUUCUAGCGGCACGCCCCGUCACGCCCCGGGGGCCUAGGUAGUUGCGCCGUGCCGCACACACGAUAUCACCCGACAGUUGCUUGGUCGGACUGUCCCUUCUUGUAAUGUCGCAUUCAUAAUGUGCACACCGUCUAGCACGCCCCAGCGCUGGUGGCCGGAGCCCGUGCCUCGCUCCCGAAUGGGGGUAGACGUGGGGCGAUUGUCCGUCUACCGAUUUUGUAAUCAGUCAUUUGCGUGAGGCGAUGGGCCUGUGCGGCUCGCCUAGUCUCGGUGUGGUGGAAAGGGACGCACACUCCCAACCUUGCAACGCAACAAUAAGCACGCUUACGCACGUUGUGCGCCACGCAGGCUCAGCCGGACAGUCCGUGCGCACACCAAGCCCGCUUUCCUAAAGUCUACUGCCUAGUAUACGGUAGCUUAGCUCACACGGUUGAAAUGAAAGAGCACGAAUGGCGACCCCGCAAUUGAUUGCAGCGGGCCUGUCGCCAACCAGCCUCCAAGCACCAACACUUCAUUCACCGUAUCAAUCUGAGAGCUCUGCGCGUCGCCCUCGUGUGCCCGUUGCCUAAACGCAGCCUUCAGCUGCAGCAUACUAAUCGACACGAGCAUGAAUCUGCCAAACUUGUCGCACUCACAACCCCCUAUUAAACGUGUCAUGCUGGCAACUCCCGGGCAUUGGUCUAGCCUUGAUUCGCUGCAACCGACCUAACAGUCCUGCGCUAUCUUGCACACACGAGUGCAAAGCACGGCCCGCACAUGCCUGAUUCGGCAUGUUGGGUACUCGAGUAAAAUGGUAUCCUGUGCCCCCGCCCCGUGCCCGCCGCCCGUUUCCGUCAACUCGCCAAGCAACGCACUUCAAGUGGCCUGUCCCCCCACUCCGACAGCCCCAGUCCAACCACAAACACUACAUUAUGAGCUGCGCUCUCUCGCUUUGAACACACCGAAUGCACGCGUCCACCCUGCCUCCUGCCCAAAUACACGCACACGUGCAAAAUCUGUCCUGUUCCCUUUCAACAACUCACUCGCACACACACACACACACACACACACACACACACACACACACACACACACACACACACACACACACACACACACACACACACACACACACACACACACACACAGGCACGCGCACACGCAUACAUACACAAUUCAUGUCCACGUCACGACAUGUCUUCUACUUGUUGGCCUUGGCCAGGUCGCGGUUGGCGAAGGCGCCUGUGGGCGUCCGCCCGUACCUGACCUGGUCCGCCAUCUGCCGGCCCAGCGUGCGGUCCCCCGUCUGCCAAGGCAGCGUCCAGCUAGCCCGCUUGCCCGUUGACCCCAGGCCGCCCGUGCUGCCGCCCGCGAAGCCGCCGCCCGCGAAGCUGCCGCCGCCGGUGGUGAUGGGCGGCAGCUGCCCCGUGCCGGAGGGCGAAACCGGGGCGCUGCUGCUGUAAUAGGCGGCACCGGCGGAGUCCGCUGGUUGUUGCUGGCUGGGGCUGUGGGCGUCGCUGGCGAGCUGCUGGGAGUGGUGGCUGUAGCGCCCAGUGGCGCCGCCGCCGCCGCCGCCGCCCGGCUGUAGCAGGCCGCUGCCGCCGCGCAUGGUCGCCACGGCGCUGUGGGUGAUGUUGGUGCCGUCGUAGGUGGCGGGCGGCACCUGUAGGGGUGAGGUACAGGUGUGUGUGUGUGUGUGUGUGUGUGUGUUGAUGCGUGUGUGUAUAUAUAUAUAUAUGUGUGUGUGUGUGUGUGUGUGUGUGUGAGCGCGGAUGUCAUCCAGCAAACGCACGCACCGUAUUCCGCAAUGCCCUUUAACACACGUACACACAUGCACGCACACUCGUCCAUGCGCACCUGCUUCUCGUGCAGUGCGGGGUUGACCGGGUUGAAGAACUGGCCCGUGGGCGUGCGCUUGUUGUUGGUCUGCGCCGCCAUCUGCCGGGACUCAGCCUCCUGUCCCUGCACCCACACAGACAACCAGGUUGGCGUCGGCGUUCGAGACUAUGGGGUGAAGUUGUGGGCGAGCUGUCAUGUUGUACUACAUGAGGUGUAGCAAUUGUAUAUGUGUAUGUGCCAGUUGCGAGUGAGGGUCGCGCUGCAGCGGCAUAGGCGACAAAACCUGCCUGCAACACCCAGUCUCGCCCAGCCAGCCCUGUUGGCACUCACCUCUAGAGCAGUGUACGAGCCGAUGGGCCUCUCCACCUGCGGAGCAGCAUUGCGAGUGACAGACCUUAUGUCUAGGCGCCCCGGCAGCGACAGCAAAUGGUGUGCGGGAUGCGCGCGGCGGGGGAGGACAGCGGCGCCACUCCGACCCAACGCGGGCAACGCCUGAAGGCCCGGUGCAGUGGUGGCUUACCGGCUCUCGCACGGGCCGAAUACCCGUCCCUGCCGUUGGCAUAGUCGCUCCAUAGAUUCGCUUGUUUUCCUACAUUCAGGGAGCGGGGUCUCAGUCCCAGGAGCGCCUCCUUCGAUGGCCCUUAUACGCAUGGCGUCCCCGGAGGAUAUGUGGGCUUACCUCCGAGUAAUCGUGGAGCAAGUAGUUGAGAUGCUUCCUUCGGUCUGACGACAAUGCUAGUUUAUCGUGUUGCGUGCAGGCGAACGAGGGGUAGCCCAUGGUCCUUGCGCUGUGACUCGAUAGGCGGAGCUUUAUGAUUAGGUUUUGAAGUUGAGUCGCUAAGUAUGGAAUUGUUAACCUGAACGCUGGCAAGCUGUGCGACUUGUGCAUCAAGGCCUGCAUCGGUGCGUGCUGCUCGCUGGACGGGAAUCGUCGUGGUAACCUAUAGUUUCACGUAUGCCAUAACUUGAUGUACUAGCAACUUUGACUGCAUAUCCCUGUUUCCCGCCUCGCUCGGACCGUCGUCCCCAAACACGAGCUUUCGCGGUGCUUCUUUGGAGCUGAUUGGUAUCAGCUCACCUUACUUCACCAAAAUCACCUGCACCACCAUAGGCGCUUUCUCGGCAACGCAGUUGGGCGAGGACCGCCUCGGAAGCCUGAGACGAUGGCUGGAAAGCAGUGUAUGACGCGGUUGCAAAAGGAGUACAAGAGCUUGUUGAAGGUGGGAGGACUGGCGAUGGCGCUAGCGUAGCCGCGACACCGUUGGCUGGGCUGUCGAAACCCCACGCUUCAGCUCCCAUACAGCCCCGGGUUGUCCGGGAGCCCAGCUCUGGAGCUGCUGGGGGCUCUGUGCGCCCAGGCCAUGACCAGAUAGCAAGGCGUAGCCUGCACUGUAGUGAAGCGUUGGCGCAUAUGAGCUCGGGGUCGCGGUGUCAUUUACGAAGGAGCAUUCCUGCUCCGCGUAUCCGAUCGAAAACUCCGGUUCAAUGUUGGCCACGCAGGACCCGGUGCCGCACAUCACCGCGCAUCCCUCGCCCUCCAACCUACUCGAGUGGCACUUCGUGCUCGAAGGCGCCAAGGUAAGGACAGCCGUACACGCACACACACGCGGCAGCACCUGGCGCUGUUAGCUGGCCCGCUCCGUGUCGUACACAGCCAUCGGGCGGUGUUGGCGUUGUUCUGGCCAUUCUGCGGUGGUUGCGGACUUGGAGUGGGCGGCCAAGCCGAUGCAGACGUCGUGCUGGUGCAAGGGAGACGCGGCGUCUGGGUCGGACCCUCGCACCGGCUGCGGCGUGCAGGCGGUGUCACCGGAGCCGGCCAGGCACCCUCUAUCCCGGCCGGCUCUGUGGGACCGGUUGCGAGUCUGGACACGCAUCCACGCAUCCAUCUCCCCCAUUUCCACCUCGCCUCAUGCCUGCCCCAUCCUCUACAGGGCACGGAGUACGACGGCGGCGUGUAUCACGGCAAGCUGGUGUUCCCCGCGGACUACCCCUUCAAGCCGCCCUCCAUCUCGCUGUUCACGCCUAACGGCCGCUUCGCCACCAACACCAAGCUGUGCCUGUCCAUGACCGACUACCACCCGGAGGUGGGGCGGGCAGGCAGGCAGCGGGGCGGGGUGAGGGGUGGGGUGGGGGUGCAGCCCGCAGGCGGGCAGCAGCGCGGCAGCAGGGCUUGGGGUGGGGGGAGGCAGGCAGGCAGGCAGACAGGCAGCUGGGCGGGGCGAGGGGUGGGGGGGGGGGUGCAGCCCGCAGGCAGACAGGCAGGCAGCAGGGCGGCAGCAGGGCGGAGGGGGGGGGCGCAGCCCGCAGGCACGCAGGUGGAGUGGCAGGGCGGCAGGGCGGGAGCGGGGCAAUGUGGAAGGAGGAUGUGGAGGGCUGGGGUUGCCUAGCUUACCCCGCCUUGAAUCGGAGCCAGUCGGAGCAGCCUAAACCGGUUCGCUGAAUCUCGCACGCGCCCAACCCGCCUGCUCCCCGCCUUGAACUCCCCUCCCCCUACCCCUACCUGCCUACGACUUCACUUCUUUAAUUCAUCAUGAAUGUAAGCCCCCUCCCUGCACCUUCGCCUCCGCUGCAGAGCUGGAACCCCAUGUGGAGCGUGGGCACCAUAUUGACGGGGCUACUCAGCUUCAUGUACGACACACAGGUGAGGGGGGGAGGGGCAGACGUACGGCAGACGUACGGCAGGCAAAUGGCGGGGGUGGGGAGCGUACGGCAGGCAGUUGGCCGGGCAGGGCGGGGCCGGUCAGGCACCGCACGCGCAGCUGCGCAGCGUUGGUGGGGUUCUCCGCGGCUGGGUGGUGUACUGGUGUUGAUAUGGCGGGGCAGGGCGCAGCGGUCGCGGUCGCAGCGGUGGCGGUGUGGCCACAGGUGCGGUGCGCCCCGGCCUCAUCCAGGUACCGUAGUUCACCCGCCCAUCCACACACGCCACCAACGGCCCAUCCGCCCAGGCCACCACGGGGAGCAUCACCACCUCGCGCGCGGAGAAGGAGCGGCUGGCAGCGGAGAGCCUGGCCUUCAACGCCAAGAACCCCACCUUCAGGAAGCUCUUCCCAGCCUGGAUUGAGGAGCUCACGCGGCGAGCCACGGCGGCGGCGCAGCCUGCACCGGCGCAGCAGGCGCAGGCACACGCGCAGGCGCAGCAGGAGCAAGCCAACGGGGAAGUGAGUGGGCAAGCGAACGGACACGCAAACGGCGACGUGGCGGCUGCGAAUGGGGGAGGAGGGAUCUUUGGCGCGGCGCGGCAGGGCGGCGGGGAGCAGCAGAACGGGCAAGCCGGCGGGCGCGGCGGCGCGCCGCCGGGGCGGGGGCUGGGGAAUUCGGUGGUGACGCUGGCCGUUGUGGUGGCGGUGCUGGCGGUGGUGUGGGUGAGCAGCGGCAGCGGCGGCGGCGGAGCGCUGUGGCAGUCCAUAUUCUCACAGGGGGCCGCGGCCGGCGGGCACGCAGGACCCCGCUGAGCCCGUGCCUUCCUCAGCGUGUGAACGUACAACUGGCUGAGGGUAGCAGACGGCAGGACGGUGGUCAGGUGCCGGCGGUACGGUCAGCUCAGUUAGUUGCGCAUGAGGUUAGGGUUAGGGCAUGAGCACGGUAGCUCAUUCAAUCAGCGUCGGGCAGUAACCUUUAUGCCGGCGAAAUGACGAUGGUGACGGUGCAUGGCGGACGGCGGGAUCAACACAGGUUCUGAGCUGCGCCUCCGGGGCCGCAGCGGGCGAGCACAGACAGAGGUGCAUAAAACCAGUAGUACGCAACGCGGGGGCUCUAGCAUAUAGCUGUGGACGCUGCCGGUACAUGGUGCUUGCAGAGUGUCUUGUGUGUUCGCAGGCGCGUGUGUGGUAUGAUGGCAACAUAGUGUGCCGGGGGGAAGUGGACGCAGGAUGUUCUGUUGGCUUGACACUUUGACGUGCCGUACGGUGGUGCGGGCCCGCCGGGACUGUAUGCGCGGCGAUAGCUGUCGUAUAGGACAGUCAGCAAAUACACACCCAGAUGCCCUGGCCGGGCGCCCGGAGCGUGAGUGUUGAGUUCUGGUCGGUUCUGGGUGGCCGUGCUCGCUAGUAGUGUUACAGUGGCACUUGUAUAGCGAUAUACACGACACCAAACUGGUAAAGACUAUGCCCUAUAUAUGGCUCUAGAUCGCCUUCUAUACCCAUCGUAAGGCACGUACCCGGGACUCCCACGGUCUCCCCGCCGUGUCCCCACGUCCCAUACUCCAGUGUUCUGACCGAAUACCCGCUAGUCCUCAACAGUGAGGAAUGCACAUCAGCAAACUUCCAGCCAGCCAGCAACUUGUCGGUACAGUAACUCCGGCGUUCGACCAGCCAUGCACUUCUGCAGUUCUGCUCUGCCACUGCAAACUGUUUGUUGUCUGCUUGGGGUACGGGCGUCAGCUGCACCCUAUGGGACCUCGCCAACCUGCCUGAACCCUGUCCCAUCACACACCCAGAUGCCCAGGGCAUGUUCCGCAGCAGAAUGUGGCGUGGACGGGUAAAGCACAAUGCCUUCGCCGCACAGGUCAAACUCCAUCUGUAAGGUCCAAAAUCUCGCGCUCGGUGUUCUGGCCCUCUUAAAUUAUGGGGCGUCCCGCCCACAAAACGGCAGCUCUCGUGGGCAAAUCAAAUGUUCUUCGAUGGGGCUGGAGCUCCGCCAGAGCUGGGUGUCGGGUAGCUGCGGGGGUACUGUAGGUAGUGAAUGUAGCCUGCUCAGGCUCACACGGGCACGAGCACCUGGGAAUGGGUGUGCCGUCUGCGACUGAGGGAGCAGGGCACACGUAAGACUGGUAGUUGGGAGGGAUAUGGCACAUUGGCACUGUGGCUGCUGCCCCGCAGUGCUGCAAUACCGCGCCCCUGGCCCAUCGCGCCACCAUUUGUCCGGAAACUCGCAGUCAGGACAUCACCCGCACAAAGCAGACUUUCGGGGCGUUCUUAAGCGCAGUCUUGAUGUGAGUGCGGAACAGCACGGAAGACAGCAAUCACUGCCCCCCACGAGCUUGCCACUGCUGCCAACCCUAGCACGCUGAUUCCUGCGUAGGUAGGCUUGUCACCGAAGGUUUGCUUCAUGAACAGAUGAGCUCUGAAGCUGAAAACAUACCCUGUUUCUGCAGAUUUCCUAGCGGUGUACCUCCUAUUCCGCAGCACUGCAUGGCGUGUUCACAUCUCCAGAAUGACUUGCCGUGGUUACACACCAAGGACAAAGGAACAUGUACAGAGCAGAAUUAUGUAUCACUGCGUGUGUAUUACACGCCGUGCUGUUGCGAGCCACUCCAGAAGAGCUGCAUGCCUAAGCUUGAGAAUACACGUGGCAAACUGGGGUUGCCAAAUGUGCGGAGAUUGAUUAUCUCCUGUCCUGUUUUCUACGUUGAUCGUCUUCUCUUGGGGGAAAACCGCCUAAUCCAUCAAACCGCACACAGGCGCGCAACGCGCUGGAAGCAGCGUGCGGCCAAACACACAAGCCACAUCAUCCAAGCGGAGCGGCAGGGCGGCCCAGUGCAGACAACAAAAACUGCACCGGCACACCCGCGCACUCCCGUGCACUGCCCUCAGUACCACUCCUCCAGGCGCCCACUCUUAGGCCACCGGAGGUUGCACCCGUACAGCGCGUCCUUCGCACACGGACCCGAGUUGACACGACAGUCACACGUGUUCUAGGUUCCGACGCGUCACACCACCGCUUGCAUUGCAACCGACGCAACCGCUGCUCCUCACUCCAAAGCCGCUUACAUUCUCCCCAUCCUCAUGCUGCUGCUGCAGCAGCUCCAGAGAUGGCCGAAAAUUCAGCUGUUAGGUGGAAAGAAGAGGGCGCUUACAGGACGGCGGCCAGGACGGAGUCCAGCUUGGCCUUGGUGAUCUCCAGCUUCUUGGCGGCGGAGGCCUGGUCCUUCUCGCGCAGGGCGAAGUCCAGGUCCUCAACGGCCUGGAUGAACUCCUUGCGCAGGCCCAGGGCGGCCUUCUUGGCCUCCUUCUCCUUGGUCGAGGCCAGGGUGUUCAGGUCGAAGCGCAGGGUGCCGACCUGGCGGCGCAGCUGCUCGCGAGCCUCAGUCCUGUUGCGAGGGAAGGGGCAGGGUGGUGGGGAGGGAAGGUCAGCAUCCCGUGUGUCGGAAUUCGUUUUGAUCCGUAUUAUGGUUGCUCCUGUAGCAUUUGAACUUUCUUGCGGAUGCCCGUACCCAAGCCGUAUUAGGUCGCGCUGGAAACCCUGAGCAAGCAUAUUGGCCCCGUCUCGACGACAUCGCGCUCACCAGUAGGACUUCUGGAUGAACACGUCCAGGUCAGCGUCGAUGCGGGCCUCAGACUCCUUCACGCGCUUCUUGGUCUCGUCCAGGGAAGCGCGAGCCUGGGUGAAGCCCUCGCGGACGUUCUGGGGCAGGUCCAGGUCGCUGCACGCAUACAGCAUAGAUCGCACUUAUUAUUGAAGCGCUAUCCCAAACGAUAUCGACAGCUGAUUGAGAUCAGCUGGAAACAUGCCGCACCUUUUGCGGGUGCAACAUGCCAACGCAAGUCCCGACUUACCGGGCCUCGUAGAUCAGGUCGAAGCCGCGGUCGCGAACCGAGCGGUCAUCGAACAGGUCGACGGGGGUCAGAGCAAGGGCAGCCUUGGGGGCCACGGCGGCGACAGCGCUCGCCAGCAGACCGCCCAGCACCUGCGCGCAAAGAUAACGCCAGAUCAGUCCCAGCUCCAUUCACAAACGCGGCCUAAUGCCCCCACGACAUUUCA